CUUAAUCUUCUUUUCUAGUGGGGAGUGGGAACCUACUGCAACCCGAGGGUCUUGAAUGUUUUUAGCCAAAGCCAAU
rnacentral:lncRNA from 1 species